UACGUAGGGGGCGAGCGUUGUCCGGAUUCAUUGGGCGUAAAGCGCUUUAAGGCGGUUCGCUAAGUCGGGUGUGAAACCUCCAGGCUCAACCUGGAGACGCCACUUGAUACUGGCGUGACUAGAGUUCGGUAGGGGACCACGGAAUUCCUGGUGUAGCGGUGAAAUGACGCAGAUAUCAGGAGGAACACCAGUGGCGAAGGCGGUGGUCUGGGCCGAUACUGACGCUGAGGAGCGAAAGCGUGGGGAGCGAACAGG
rnacentral:rRNA from 1 species